rnacentral:tRNA from 1 species
CAUUAGAUGGCUGAAAGUAAGCAAUGGAAUUUUAAACCAUACUAUAGUACCUCACAACUACUUCUAAUGG